rnacentral:rRNA from 1 species
ACAGCACUCUGCAAACACGAAAGUGGACGUAUAGGGUGUGACGCCUGCCCGGUGCUGGAAGGUUAAUUGAAGAUGUGAGAGCAUCGGAUCGAAGCCCCAGUAAACGGCGGCCGUAACUAUAACGGUCCUAAGGUAGCGAAAUUCCUUGUCGGGUAAGUUCCGACCUGCACGAAUGGCAUAAUGAUGGCCAGGCUGUCUCCACCCGAGACUCAGUGAAAUUGAAAUCGCCGUGAAGAUGCGGUGUACCCGCGGCUAGACGGAAAGACCCCGUGAACCUUUACUAUAGCUUGACACUGAACAUUGAAUUUUGAUGUGUAGGAUAGGUGGGAGACUUUGAAGAUGAUACGCCAGUAUUGUUGGAGUCGUCCUUGAAAUACCACCCUUUAACGUUUGAUGUUCUAACGAAGAUUACGAAACGUGGUCUCGGACAGUGUCUGGUGGGUAGUUUGACUGGGGCGGUCUCCUCCCAAAGAGUAACGGAGGAGCACGAAGGUUUGCUAAUGACGGUCGGACAUCGUCAGGUUAGUGCAAUGGUAUAAGCAAGCUUAACUGCGAGACAGACAAGUCGAGCAGGUACGAAAGUAGGUCAUAGUGAUCCGGUGGUUCUGAAUGGAAGGGCCAUCGCUCAACGGAUAAAAGGUACUCCGGGGAUAACAGGCUGAUACCGCCCAAGAGUUCAUAUCGACGGCGGUGUUUGGCACCUCGAUGUCGGCUCAUCACAUCCUGGGGCUGAAGUAGGUCCCAAGGGUAUGGCUGUUCGCCAUUUAAAGUGGUACGCGAGCUGGGUUUAGAACGUCGUGAGACAGUUCGGUCCCUAUCUGCCGUGGGCGUUGGAGAAUUGAUUGGGGCUGCUCCUAGUACGAGAGGACCGGAGUGGACGCACCACUGGUGUUCCGGUUGUGUCGCCAGACGCAUUGCCGGGUAGCUAAGUGCGGAAGAGAUAAGUGCUGAAAGCAUCUAAGCACGAAACUUGCCAAGAGAUGAGUUCUCCCAGAUU